UACAGAGGGUGCGAGCGUUAAUCGGAAUUACUGGGCGUAAAGCGUGCGUAGAUGGUUAUGUAAGUCGGAUGUGAAAGCCCCGGGCUCAACCUGGGAAUUGCAUUCGAGACUGCAUAGCUAGGAUGCGGAAGAGGGAAGCGGAAUUUCCGGUGUAGCGGUGAAAUGCGUAGAUAUCGGAAGGAACAUCAGUGGCGAAGGCGGCUUCCUGGACCAAUACUGACGAUCAGGUGCGAAAGCGUGGGGAGCAAACAGG
rnacentral:rRNA from 1 species